rnacentral:rRNA from 1 species
UACGGAGGGUGCAAACGUUGUUCGGAAUUACUGGGCGUAAAGGGCUUGUAGGUGGCCAACUAAGUCAGACGUGAAAUCCCUCAGCUUAACUGGGGAACCGCGUCUGAUACUGGAUGGCUUGAGUUUGGGAGAGGGACGCGGAAUUCCAGGUGUAGCGGUGAAAUGCGUAGAUAUCUGGAGGAACACCGGUGGCGAAGGCGGCGUCCUGGACCAACACUGACACUGAAAAGCGAAAGCCAGGGGAGCAAACGGG